AAGCCAAUACUUUCAGAAAUCUUUUUUGUAGUGCUUUUGUAGUGAAAUGUGUUUCUAAAGUGUUUGGACUUGCUGUCCACGAGGAAGAGUUGCAGUGUUUCUGAGCGUGAAGGGGACAGUGAGUGUUGUUUUCAGUGAACUGCUCGCUAUUAUUGAUGCCCAUUCCAGUCUUCCUUAGGGGGCGGGAGGAAGGGGACACGUUCUGAGUGGG